GAUGCUCGUCGAAGGCCUGCGGCAUUAGAGGGCUCAGAAGGGCGAAGUGGGUUUAGAGUGAGAGAAUCCUGAAGUGGGUUCGCGGAGAAGGUUGACUUGAAGUUGGAUUUUGUAGGAGGAGGGAGGGAAGCUGAAGCUGAAAGAGAAAGAUUCGAAAGAGAUGAAAUUUGGGUUGGGAUUUUAACUUUGUUGGGUCUGAAAAGGGUGGAGGAGAUUUUGGGAGGAAUAAGGAAGUGGGUGGGGAGAAUUGUAGAGAGAGAAAGUGAGAUGGAGGCUAUGGGUAGAGGUGGACAUGGGACAAGUUGUUGGUCUUCUUGAGGUGUUUGGUUUUCUGGGUUGUCUGAAGAUUGGU
rnacentral:lncRNA from 1 species